rnacentral:rRNA from 1 species
GAUGAACGCUGGCGGCGUGCCUAAUACAUGCAAGUCGAGCGAACAGACGAGGAGCUUGCUCCUCUGACGUUAGCGGCGGACGGGUGAGUAACACGUGGAUAACCUACCUAUAAGACUGGGAUAACUUCGGGAAACCGGAGCUAAUACCGGAUAAUAUAUUGAACCGCAUGGUUCAAUAGUGAAAGACGGUUUUGCUGUCACUUAUAGAUGGAUCCGCGCCGCAUUAGCUAGUUGGUAAGGUAACAGCUUACCAAGGCAACGAUGCGUAGCCGACCUGAGAGGGUGAUCGGCCACACUGGAACUGAGACACGGUCCAGACUCCUACGGGAGGCAGCAGUAGGGAAUAUUCCGCAAUGGGCGAAAGCCUGACGGAGCAACGCCGCGUGAGUGAUGAAGGUCUUCGGAUCGUAAAACUCUGUUAUUAGGGAAGAACAAAUGUGUAAGUAAAUAUGCACGUCUUGACGGUACCUAAUCAGAAAGCAACGGCUAACUACGUG